AGUGAACGCUGGCGGUAGACCUAACACAUGCAAGUCGAACGGCAGCACAGUAAGAGCUUGCUCUUACGGGUGGCGAGUGGCGGACGGGUGAGGAAUACAUCGGAAUCUACUUUUUCGUGGGGGAUAACGUAGGGAAACUUACGCUAAUACCGCAUACGACCUACGGGUGAAAGCAGGGGAUCUUCGGACCUUGCGCGAUUGAAUGAGCCGAUGUCGGAUUAGCUAGUUGGCGGGGUAAAGGCCCACCAAGGCGACGAUCCGUAGCUGGUCUGAGAGGAUGAUCAGCCACAAUGGAACUGAGACAAGGUCCAGACUCCCACGGGAGGCAGCAGUGGGGAAUAUUGGACAAUGGGCGGAAGCCUGAUCCAGGCAUACCGCGUGGGUGAAGAAGGCCUUCGGGUUGUAAAGCCCUUUUGUUUGGAAAGAAAAGCAGCAGGUUAAUACCCCGCUGUUCUGACGGUACCCAAAGAAUAAGCACCGGCUAACUUCGUG
rnacentral:rRNA from 1 species